rnacentral:rRNA from 1 species
AGUGAACGCUGGCGGUAGGCCUAACACAUGCAAGUCGAACGGCAGCACAGUAAGAGCUUGCUCUUACGGGUGGCGAGUGGCGGACGGGUGAGGAAUACAUCGGAAUCUACUUUUUCGUGGGGGAUAACGUAGGGAAACUUACGCUAAUACCGCAUACGACCUACGGGUGAAAGCAGGGGAUCUUCGGACCUUGCGCGAUUGAAUGAGCCGAUGUCGGAUUAGCUAGUUGGCGGGGUAAAGGCCCACCAAGGCGACGAUCCGUAGCUGGUCUGAGAGGAUGAUCAGCCACACUGGAACUGAGACACGGUCCAGACUCCUACGGGAGGCAGAAGUGGGGAAUAUUGGACAAUGGGAGCAAGCCUGAUACAGCCAUACCGCGUGGGUGAAGAAGGCCUUCGGGUUGUAAAGCCCCUUUGUUGGGAAAGAAAAGCAGCAGGUUAAUACCCCGCUGUUCUGACGGUACCCAAAGAAUAAGCACCGGCUAACUUCGUG